UACGGGGGGGGCAAGCGUUGUUCGGAAUUACUGGGCGUAAAGGGCUCGUAGGCGGCCAACUAAGUCAGACGUGAAAGCCCUCGGCUCAACUGAGGAAGUGCAUCCGAAACUGGCAGGCUAGAGUACUAAAGAGGGUCGCGGAAUUCCCGGUGUAGAGGUGAAAUUCGUAGAUAUUCGCAAGAACACCAGUGGCGAAGGCGGCUCACUGGCCCGGUACUGACGCUGAGGUGCGAAAGCGUGGGGAGCAAACAGG
rnacentral:rRNA from 1 species